UGAAUCAAAAAAUGGCAGAAGCACUAAAAGGCAUCAAACUGGACAAGUUCAAAAACUCUGUUGAGCAGCGGAAAAAACAUCUCUAUAGGUGUAUUGCAUCAAGUGGAGAGCACUUUGAAGGUGGCUAAAGUUUAAACAUGUAAGGAUAAAUACACAAUUUUUUAUAAAUAAAUUCUGUUUUUUUGGACAGUCCC